rnacentral:rRNA from 1 species
AUUGAACGCUGGUGGCAGGCCUAACACAUGCAAGUCGAGCGGAUGAAGGGAGCUUGCUCCUGGAUUCAGCGGCGGACGGGUGAGUAAUGCCUAGGAAUCUGCCUGGUAGUGGGGGAUAACGUCCGGAAACGGGCGCUAAUACCGCAUACGUCCUGAGGGAGAAAGUGGGGGAUCUUCGGACCUCACGCUAUCAGAUGAGCCUAGGUCGGAUUAGCUAGUUGGUGGGGUAAAGGCCUACCAAGGCGACGAUCCGUAACUGGUCUGAGAGGAUGAUCAGUCACACUGGAACUGAGACACGGUCCAGACUCCUACGGGAGGCAGCAGUGGGGAAUAUUGGACAAUGGGCGAAAGCCUGAUCCAGCCAUGCCGCGUGUGUGAAGAAGGUCUUCGGAUUGUAAAGCACUUUAAGUUGGGAGGAAGGGCAGUAAGUUAAUACCUCGCUGUUUUGACGUUACCAACAGAAUAAGCACCGGCUAACUUCGUG